rnacentral:rRNA from 1 species
AGAUUGAACGCUAGCGGCAUGCCUAACACAUGCAAGUCAACGGGUAACAGGCCCCUUCGGGGUGCUGACGAGUGGCGGACGGGUGAGUAAUGCGUAGGAAUCUACCCACGAGUGGGGGAUAGCCCGGAGAAAUCCGGGAUUAAUACCGCAUAUGCCCUACGGGGUAAAAGCGGGGGAGUCGUAAGGACCUCGCGCUGGUGGAUGACGCCUACGUCCGAUUAGGUUAGUUGGUGGGGUAAAGGGCCUACCAAGGACUACGAUCGGUAGCUGGUCUGAGAGGACGACCAAGCCAACACUACGGGAACUGAGACACGGCCCAGACUCCUACGGAGGCCAG